rnacentral:misc_RNA from 1 species
GAUGAAGAACGUAGCGAAAUGCGAUAAGUAAUGUGAAUUGCAGAAUUCAGUGAAUCAUCGAGUCUUUGAACGCACAUUGCGCCCCCUGGUAUUCCGGGGGGCAUGCCUGUCCGAGCGUCAUUGCCGCCCUCAAGCACGGCUUGUGUGUUGGGCCCCCGCCCCCCGGCUUCGGGGGGCGGGCCCGAAAGGCAGCGGCGGCACCGCGUCCGGUCCUCGAGCGUAUGGGGCUUCGUCACCCGCUCUGUAGGCCCGGCCGGCGCCCGCCGGCGACCCCAAUCAAUCUUUCCAUGUUGACCUCGGAUCAGGUAGGGAUACCCGCUGAACUUAAGCAUAUCAAUAAGCGGAGGA